rfam:Tilletia walkeri strain DAOM 236422 scaffold_133 mitochondrial, whole genome shotgun sequence.
GCAGAUAUGCCUAAGCGGUUUAGGUGGUGCUCUGUAAAAGCAUUGGUUAAGGCCAUCACAAGUUCGAAUCUUGUAUCUGCA